rnacentral:piRNA from 1 species
CAAGAUUAUGAGUUGGGAUUGCUUCUCCUG